rnacentral:rRNA from 1 species
GAUAGUCGGUAGGGUAAAGGCCUACCAAGUCAAGAGUCGGUAGCCGGACUGAGAGGUUGACCGGCCACAUUGGGUCUGAGACACGGCCCCGACUCAUACGGGAGGCAGCAGUGGGGAAUUUUGGGCAAUGGGGGAAACCCUGACCCAGCAACGCCGCGUGAAGGAAGAAGGUCUUUGGGAUUGUAGAAUUCUUUGAUCAGGGACGAAGAAAUGACUGUACCUGAAGAACAAGUCAGGGCUAACUACGUGCCAGCAGCCGCGGUAAUUAGUAGGUGGCAAGCGUUAUCCGGAUUUAAUGGGUGUAAAGGGAGGGUAGGCGGGUGUGCAAGUCAGAUGUGAAAUCUCCGGGCUUAACUAGGAAGUGUCAUCUGAAAGUACGGAUCUUGAGUACUGGAGAGGAUAGUGGAAUUCCUUGUGUAGCGGUAAAAUGCGUAGAUAUUAGGAGGAACACCAGUGGCGAAGGAGGCUAUCUGGACAGUAACUGGCGGUGAGGCGCGAAAGCGUGGGGAGCAAACAAGCUUAGAUACCCUGGUAGUCCACCCCGUAAACGAAGAAUACUCGGUGUAGGAGGUAUCGACUCCUCCUGUGCCGCAGC